UAUUUGUUAUAUUACAUUAUGUGAUUUUUGUUUAUUAUUGGUGGGUAAAAUAUUUAGGUGUUGGUGUAUAUUUUGUGGAUAUAAUUUAUUUUGUUAUAGUGUAUUAGUACUGUGAGGGGUUUUGUAAUUUGUUUAAAAUUGUAGGAAGUUAAAUUUAUUUGUUGUACCUUGUGUCUCAGGGUUUAUCAAUAAAGUGGAAUGUAUUGUUUUUGUUCUCGAUUUUGGGAGAGUUAGUAAGGUAUGUUAUUUAUUGUUUUAAAAUUAUUGAUAAUAUUUUAUUAGUGGUGAAAUGUCUUUCGUUCUUGAAUGUAUCUGGUUUUUUAUGAAAUGAAUUUAAAUUGUGUAUCUGUUUUUAAUGUGGGUUGUUUUUUGUGAUUUGUUUUAAUUGAUGCUAAUAUUUUAAGGGAUGAGCUUUGGGGUAUAAUUCUAUAAUAUUGUAAGAUUUUUGAGUGGCAUGGAUUUAAUGGUGAUUGUUUGUUUGGAGGAUGUUAAAGUUUUACUUUAUUACUUUUUUUUUUAUGUUUUGUUUGGGUAUUUUAUUAGGAGUUUUUAAUUAAUUUUUUAUUAGUGGAGAUAAUGAUGAAAUUAGUAUAUACAAUAAUUAUUUUUAAUGUGUAUUUGUCAUAUUGAUUAGAGGAAUUAGGCAAAAAUUGUGUUCGCCUGUUUAACAAAAACAUCUUUUCUUGUAUUGUUUUGGAAAUAUGACCUGCCCACUGAUUUAAUUGAAGGGCCGCGGUAAUUUGACCGUGCAAAGGUAGCAUAAUCAUUAGUUUUUUGAUUGAAGACUGGAAUGAAUGGUUGGACGAGAUAUAUUCUAUCUUUUUUUUAUUAUUUGAAUUUAAUUAUUAAGUGAGAAAGCUUAGAUGUUGCUAAGGGACGAGAAGACCCUAUAGAGUUUAAUAUUUAUUUUUAAAUAUUUUGGUUUGGUUAAAUUUGAUUUUUGAAUUAAGUAUUUUGUUGGGGUGACAAGGAGAAAUAUUAAACUCUUCUUUGAUGUUGUUUAUUGAUUUAUAUUUUUAUAGAUCCAUUGUUUGUGAUAAUAAGAUUAAAUUACCUUAGGGAUAACAGCGUAAUUCUUUUUGAGAGUUCGUAUUAAUAAAAGGGAUUGCGACCUCGAUGUUGGAUUAAGAUAAAGUGUUAGGUGAAGAAGCUUAAAUUACUAGGUCUGUUCGACCUUUAAAAUCUUACAUGAUCUGAGUUCAAACCGGUGUGAGCCAGGUUGGUUUCUAUCUUUAGUGUAAGGAAGUAUUUUAGUACGAAAGGACCAAAUACUUGAAAUAAUUUUUUUGUAUUGAUUGAUAUUAAGUG
rnacentral:rRNA from 1 species